CUCAGAGCCUGGAAAGAUGGGGUGUGAUUAGCUCAGUUUGCCUUCUUGCUGCUUCUGGAACAAAAAUCAGUCUGCCUAGGACAACUUCUCCAUGGUGGUGUGCCCCUAGAGACAGGCAGACAGCAUUCAAACUGAUAUGGAUGGGUCUUAAAGUUCUGUCCAAGACGGCAUUGACUGAAGGCCAAGGCAGACACUUCAGGGAGUUGCAGAAUAAGAGAUCAAGCUGAAGAUGCCCUGGAGAAUGUAAUUACAAGGUCUUCAGGCAG
rnacentral:lncRNA from 1 species